UAAUUUGGUUUUGAGUUCCUGAAUCUUUCUGUCCUUUAAAUCUAUUUGCUUUUGCUUUCUCUUUAAGGCUUGAUUAACUAUACGUUUGGGAGUUUUCAACCGUGCCCUAAGUUCACUGAUCUUUGUAAAAGCAGCCCUGGAUUCGGACACAAACUUUAGUCUUUUCUUCAAUUUCUGUUUCCCUGGUGAAAUAAAUUUUCUGCUACAUCUUGUUGAAACACUAGAUGUCGAUGGCAUUGGUUCGGGUGAGGCAGCAGCUG